GACGAACGCUGGCGGCGUGCUUAACACAUGCAAGUCGAACGGAAAGGCCCUGCUUUUGUGGGUGCUCGAGUGGCGAACGGGUGAGUAACACGUGAGUAACCUGCCCUUGACUUUGGGAUAACUUCAGGAAACUGGGGCUAAUACCGGAUAGGAGCUCCUGCUGCAUGGUGGGGGUUGGAAAGUUUCGGCGGUUGGGGAUGGACUCGCGGCGUAUCAGCUUGUUGGUGGGGUAGUGGCUUACCAAGGCUUUGACGGGUAGCCGGCCUGAGAGGGUGACCGGCCACAUUGGGACUGAGAUACGGCCCAGACUCCUACGGGAGGCAGCAGUGGGGAAUAUUGCACAAUGGGCGGAAGCCUGAUGCAGCAACGCCGCGUGCGGGAUGACGGCCUUCGGGUUGUAAACCGCUUUCGCCUGUGACGAAGCGUGAGUGACGGUAAUGGGUAAAGAAGCACCGGCUAACUACGUG
rnacentral:rRNA from 1 species